rnacentral:rRNA from 1 species
GACGAACGCUGGCGGCGUGCUUAACACAUGCAAGUCGUACGGUAAGGCCCUUUCGGGGGUACACGAGUGGCGAACGGGUGAGUAACACGUGAGUAACCUGCCCACAACUUUGGGAUAACGCUAGGAAACUGGUGCUAAUACUGGAUAUGUGCUCCUGCUGCAUGGUGGGGGUUGGAAAGCUCCGGCGGUUGUGGAUGGACUCGCGGCCUAUCAGCUUGUUGGUGGGGUAGUGGCCUACCAAGGCGGCGACGGGUAGCCGGCCUGAGAGGGUGACCGGCCACAUUGGGACUGAGAUACGGCCCAGACUCCUACGGGAAGCAGCAGUGGGGAAUAUUGCACAAUGGGCGCAAGCCUGAUGCAGCAACGCCGCGUGCGGGAUGACGGCCUUCGGGUUGUAAACCGCUUUCAGCAGGGACGAAGCUUUUUGUGACGGUACCUGCAGAAGAAGCACCGGCUAACUACGUG